rnacentral:rRNA from 1 species
ACUUAUAUUCUGUAGCAAGGUUAACCGAAUAGGGGAGCCGGAGGGAAACCGAGUCUUAACCGGGCGUUAAGUUGCAGGGUAUAGACCCGAAACCCGGUGAUCUAGCCAUGGGCAGGUUGAAGGUUGGGUAACACUAACUGGAGGACCGAACCGACUAAUGUUGAAAAAUUAGCGGAUGACCUGUGGCUGGGGGUGAAAGGCCAAUCAAACCGGGAGAUAGCUGGUUCUCCCCGAAAGCUAUUUAGGUAGCGCCUCGUGAAUUCAUCUCCGGGGGUAGAGCACUGUUUCGGCUAGGGGGCCAUCCCGGCUUACCAACCCGAUGCAAACUGCGAAUACCGGAGAAUGUUAUCACGGGAGACACACGGCGGGUGCUAACGUCCGUCGUGAAGAGGGAAACAACCCAGACCGCCAGCUAAGGUCCCAAAGUCAUGGUUAAGUGGGAAACGAUGUGGGAAGGCCCAGACAGCCAGGAUGUUGGCUUAGAAGCAGCCAUCAUUUAAAGAAAGCGUAAUAGCUCACUGGUCGAGUCGGCCUGCGCGGAAGAUGUAACGGGGCUAAACCAUGCACCGAAGCUGCGGCAGCGACACUGAUGUGUUGUUGGGUAGGGGAGCGUUCUGUAAGCCUGCGAAGGUGGCCUGUGAGGGUUGCUGGAGGUAUCAGAAGUGCGAAUGCUGACAUAAGUAACGAUAAAGCGGGUGAAAAGCCCGCUCGCCGGAAGACCAAGGGUUCCUGUCCAACGUUAAUCGGGGCAGGGUGAGUCGACCCCUAAGGCGAGGCCGAAAGGCGUAGUCGAUGGGAAACGGGUUAAUAUUCCCGUACUUGGUGUUACUGCGAAGGGGGGACGGAGAAGGCUAUGUUGGCCGGGCGACGGUUGUCCCGGUUUAAGCGUGUAGGUGUGUGUUCCAGGUAAAUCCGGUUCACUUUAACACUGAGGCGUGAUGACGAGGCACUACGGUGCUGAAGUAACAAAUGCCCUGCUUCCAGGAAAAGCCUCUAAGCAUCAGGUAACAUCAAAUCGUACCCCAAACCGACACAGGUGGUCAGGUAGAGAAUACCAAGGCGCUUGAGAGAACUCGGGUGAAGGAACUAGGCAAAAUGGUGCCGUAACUUCGGGAG